UACGAAGGGGGCUAGCGUUGCUCGGAAUGACUGGGCGUAAAGGGCGCGUAGGCGGAUGGCACAGUCAGAUGUGAAAUUCCCGGGCUUAACCUGGGGGCUGCAUUUGAUACGUGUUGUCUUGAGUUCGGAAGAGGGUCGUGGAAUUCCCAGUGUAGAGGUGAAAUUCGUAGAUAUUGGGAAGAACACCGGUGGCGAAGGCGGCGACCUGGUCCGACACUGACGCUGAGGCGCGAAAGCUAGGGGAGCAAACGGG
rnacentral:rRNA from 1 species